rnacentral:lncRNA from 1 species
GUCUCAUUAGAAAAAUUGAAAGAAGCUAAAUUUGUUGGGAAAAUUUAAUAUUUUAAAAAUGAAAUAAGACAAAGAAGGAACAUGUUGAAAGAAACCUUGUGGUGUGAAAUAGAAGGUGGUGGGAAUUUUGUUGUGACUUGUGAUGUUGCAAGAGAUUAUCAAUUAUUGGAGUAGAAGGAAGGAAGGAAGGAAUAGAUGCAAAGAAGAAGAGUUUGAAGAGUUAGAGCAUAGUACACGUUGGAAUGUGAAUAAAAUGUGACAUAAGAUAGAUCUAAGGCAUGUGAUGUUUUAUCUAUAUUUGACUCUUGUGUUUGUGUUAUUGUUUGUGAAAGUACUUAAUUGCCACAC